ACGGGGAGGUCGGAGUAGAUACGGGAGUCGGAGUGAGAUACAGGGAGGUCAGAGUGAGAUACAGGGAGCCAGAGUGAGAUACAGGGAGGCCAGAGUGAGAUACAGGGAGGUCAGAGUGAGAUACAGGGAGGUCAGAGUGGAGAUACAGGGAGGACAGAGUGAGAUACAGGGAGGUCAGAGUGAGAUACAGGGAGGUCAGAGUGAGAAACAGGGAGGUCAGAGUGAGAUACAGGGAGGUCAGAGUGAGACACAGAGAGGUCAGAG